rnacentral:rRNA from 1 species
AUUGAACGCUGGCGGCAGGCCUAACACAUGCACGUCGAGCGAGCGGCGGACGGGAGAGUAAUGUCUGGGAAACUGCCUGAUGGAGGGGGAUAACUACUGGAAACGGUAGCUAAUACCGCAUACCAUCAGAUGUUCCCAGAUGGGAUUAGCUAGUAGGUGGGGUAACGGCUCACAUAGGCGACGCGCCCUAGCUGGUCUGAGAGGAUGACCAGCCAAAUCGGACCAGCUGCACGGUCCAUACUCCGACGGGAGGCAGCAGUGGGGAAUAUUUCACAAUGGGCGCAAGCCUGAUGCAGCCAUGCCGCGUGUGUGAAGAAGGCCUUCGGGUUGUAAAGCACUUUCAGCGGGGAGGCGUUACCCGCAGAAGAAGCAGCGGCAAAGUCCGUGCCAGCCGCCGCGGUAAUAC